CGGAACGGGUGAGUAAUACAUCGGAACGUGUCCGCUCGUGGGGGACAACCAGCCGAAAGGUUGGCUAAUACCGCAUGAGUUCUACGGAAGAAAGAGGGGGACCCGCAAGGGCCUCUCGCGAGCGGAGCGGCCGAUGACUGAUUAGCCGGUUGGUGAGGUAACGGCUCACCAAAGCAACGAUCAGUAGCUGGUCUGAGAGGACGACCAGCCACACUGGGACUGAGACACGGCCCAGACUCCUACGGAAGGCAGCAG
rnacentral:rRNA from 1 species